CACGUAGGGCGCAAGCGUUGUCCGGAAUUAUUGGGCGUAAAGAGCUCGUAGGCGGUCUGUUACGUCUGCUGUGAAAACCCUGGGCUUAACCCUGGGCUUGCAGUGGAUACGGGCAGACUAGAGGUAGGUAGGGGAGAAUGGAAUUCCCGGUGUAGCGGUGAAAUGCGCAGAUAUCGGGAGGAACACCGGUGGCGAAGGCAGCUUACUGGGCCGAUACUGACGCUGAGGAGCGAAAGCGUGGGGAGCGAACAGG
rnacentral:rRNA from 1 species